UAGGGAAUAUUGGUCAAUGGGCGCAAGCCUGAACCAGCCAUGCCGCGUGCAGGAUGAAAGCUCUCUGAGUUGUAAACUGCUUUUGUACAGGAGCAAAAAAGUCCCUGCGGGGAUUCUUGAGAGUACUGUAAGAAUAAGCACCGGCUAAUUCCGUGCCAGCAGCCGCGGUAAUACGGAAGGUGCAAGCGUUAUCCGGUUUUAUUGGGUUUAAAGGGUGCGUAGGCGGCUUAUUAAGUCAGUAGUGAAAUCCUAGUGCUUAACGCUAGAACUGCAAUUGAUACUAUUAGGCUUGAGUUAAGAAGAGGUAAGCAGAAUUUAUGGUGUAGUAGUGAAAUGCUUAGAUAUCAUAAGGAAUACCAAUAGCGUAGGCAGCUUACUGGUCUUUAACUGACGCUGAGGCACGAAAGCGUGGGGAGCAAACA
rnacentral:rRNA from 1 species